AAGGUUUCCGUAGGUGACCUGCGGAGGAUCAUUACUGAAAAAAGAUUUCGAGGAUGUUGCUGGCGGCGUGCAAGCGUUCGCACGUGCACUCUUUCGAAUGAUUUUUUUUUUGACCCUUCUCACACCAUGUGCACCCUUUGUAGGCUCGGUGGACCUAUGUUUUCAAAAAACAAACACCCCCGAAUGUAUACGAAUGUACCAUUGAUGGAUUGCGAAGUCAAUAAAAGUACAACUUUCAACAAUGGAUCUCUUGGCUCUCGCAUCGAUGAAGAACGCAGCGAAAUGCGAUACGUAAUGUGAAUUGCAGAAUUCCGUGAAUCAUCGAAUCUUUGAACGCACCUUGCGCCCCUUGGUAUUCCGAGGGGCAUGCCUGUUUGAGUGUAAUUGAACCCUACUCAACUUGACCUUGGGUCAAGCUUGGAUUUGGAGAGUGCCGGCAAGCUCGGCUCCUCUGAAAGGCAUUAGCGAGCGACUCUCGCGUCUGCUUCGGCGUUGAUAAUCAAUUUGUCUAUGCCCUGAGCACACGCUUGGCCAGUUGGCUUACAAGCGGUCCCCUUUUCGAGGGACAAAAGGGUGUCUAACCCAACCCAACAAUCACCUCAAAUCAGGUAGGACUACCCGCUGAACUUAAGCAUAUCAAAUAAGCGGAGGAA
rnacentral:rRNA from 1 species